AAUAUACAUUAUUAUAAAAUUGUAUACAAAAAUAGUACUUUUCCUUUUGGUGUAAUUAAGUAUAGUUUGAUACUGUCACGAUCUUGGUUUUGAUUUGGUUUGUUUCCUGUUUUAUUUUGAAUUUCCCUGCCUUUGUCCCGCGUUCACGUCACUUCCUGCCUUUGUGUGAUUUCCCGCCUUUGUGAUUCUCUGCCCCGCCCCUGAUAGAAUCCUCCUGUGUCUAAUCACUUGUACUUCCCCAGUGUAUUUAAACACUACAGUGUUCUCCUGUGCCUGUGUUGGUUCGUCUGCUAUGUUCCGUUCAAUGUCCCCUGCUUUGCUUCCUGGUAUGUUCCCUGCUAUGCUUACAGGCAGGGGCGUCGUUCGGCCUAUUUUAGGGGGGCUGAAGCUAUGAACUGAAAUCUAUGAACUGUCUGAAACAAUGUAUAUCCGCAGCCCCAAAUGAGCCCCAAAAAAAAAUUGCCGCUAACAUGCCACUCCCCUUGGGUCUAAGCCCCCCCUUUCUUUGUAUCCUAGAAACGCCCCUGCUUCCUGAUAUGUUCCCUGCUAUGCUUACAGGUACAGUAUGUCCCCUGCUUUACUUCCUGCUAUGCUUACAGGUACAGUAUGUCCCCUGCUUUACUUCCUGCUAUGCUUACAGGUAUGUCCCCUGCGGUGCUUCCUGGUAUGUUCCCUGCUAUGUUCCCCAAAAACAUCAACAACAAAAACAAAUACAACAAAACUAAAUACUAUAUACAAGGACACCAAGACGCAGUCAAUCGGCAUUUAAAUUUGGAGAUCAAAUUCCUCAACACAGCAUGAAAGAUACUUUUGUACCCGUUAAUUGGCAAAACAAUUUGAAUACGUCACAUUGAGCCCUGGAAUGUCAGCUGUCAAUGAAGUGGAACAGUCCCGAGGCACAAUCCGAUGAAGUAAGUGAUCAAACCUGUGUGGGUGGAUCACAGUCUCUGCGUUAGAUGAGACCGUGUUCUUGCAGAGAAACAAUGCCUGUCGUACGUUGAAACAUGAAAAUGAUCUGUGUGUAUGUGUGUGUGUUGGUAUGUUAACCACAGAAGCCGGUUUUGUCUGUAACUGGGAUCAUCACUUAACAAAGAGCCAUCUGCAGAUUCAUUCCACACCUGAUGUGUUACGAUCCACUAAAGAUAAACACAAUAUAAGUUGAAUAAAUCCCUGUUUUUGUUAUCUUCGCCACCAUCUUGACUGGAAGGGACACUUCUCUGUUUGGGAGGAGAGAGGGAGACACAUCUGGGCCCAACUUUUGCCCGAAGACAUUUUCUGCUACGAUUCCAAUAAAACACAAAUAAGUAUAUAUUGAUGUGAUAUAUCCACUUAUGUGUGUGUGUGUCAGCUUCUUGAGCCGCGUGUUACAGUGCGACAUGUCGGAGUGUUAUCGUGCCACAGACUGGACGCAUUGCCUCGUGUUACUUUAACCCGGGUACUUUAUGUGUAUGCUUGCUGUGGGUGAGUUCUGGAAGGAAAACCUUCUUAGCUUUGAAUUAUGUUUUCAUAUUUAUGCUAUUUUUCACUUUGCUCAAAGUCCGUUUCACACUGCUGGGGUUGUAGCUGAAAGAAUAAGGCUGAAAUUGUCACACAUGACAUCAUUUCACCAAGCGGAUGAAUAAAGCAUCUUCCAUUAUUAUUUAUAAGAAUUCAUGUAAGCAACACAUUCAU